CUUCUUCACAAUAUUGUCAGAUUCCAAGUACAAAUCAUUGCUUUGGCUCCACUUUCUAGCGCACAUAAGAAAUGUUUUGAGAAAUUUCAUGUGUUUGAUUGAACCACGAACAUCGUAAGGAACAUACCGGUCUCGGAAUCUGUUCAGAAGCAACUGUAGAUCAAGGAAGACACGAUCGCUGCUGCAAGUGGAGGCCAUCUCCAUCUCUUAUGCAGGGAUUU
rnacentral:lncRNA from 1 species